GACGAACGCUGGUGGCGUGCUUAACACAUGCAAGUCGAACGGUAAGGCCCUUCGGGGUACACGAGUGGCGAACGGGUGAGUAACACGUGGGUGAUCUGCCCUGCACUUCGGGAUAAGCCUGGGAAACUGGGUCUAAUACCGGAUAGGACCCUGGGAUGCAUGUCCUGGGGUGGCAAGCGUUUGCGGUGUGGGAUGGGCCCGCGGCCUAUCAGCUUGUUGGUGGGGUGACGGCCUACCAAGGCGACGACGGGUAGCCGGCCGGAGAGGGUGACCGGCCACACUGGGACUGAGAUACGGCCCAGACUCCUACGGGAGGCAGCAGUGGGGAAUAUUGCACAAUGGGCGCAAGCCUGAUGCAGCGACGCCGCGUGAGGGAUGACGGCCUUCGGGUUGUAAACCUCUUUCAGCACCGACGAAGCGCAAGUGACGGUAGGUGCAGAAGAAGGACCGGCCAACUACGUGCCAGCAGCCGCCGUAA
rnacentral:rRNA from 1 species